UACGAAGGGGGCUAGCGUUGUUCGGAAUUACUGGGCGUAAAGCGUGCGUAGACGGCUAUCUAAGUCGGGUGUGAAAGCCCCGGGCUCAACCUGGGAAUUGCAUUCGAGACUGAAUAGCUAGGGUGCGGUAGAGGGAAGCGGAAUUUCCGGUGUAGCGGUGAAAUGCGUAGAUAUCGGAAGGAACAUCAGUGGCGAAAGCGGCUUCCUGGACCAGCACCGACGUUCAGGCACGAAAGCGUGAGGAGCAAACAAGG
rnacentral:rRNA from 1 species